rnacentral:rRNA from 1 species
UUUUGGACAAUGGGCGAAAGCCUGAUCCGGCAAUGCCGCGUGAGUGAAGAAGGCCUUCGGGUUGUAAAGCUCUUUUGUUAGGGAAGAAACGGUGAGAGCUAAUAUCUUUUGCUAAUUACGGUACCUGAAGAAUAAGCACCGGCUAACUACGUGCCAGCAGCCGCGGUAAUACGUAGGGUGCAAGCGUUAAUCGGAAUUACUGGGCGUAAAGCGUGCGCAGGCGGUUUUGUAAGUCUGAUGUGAAAUCCCCGGGCUCAACCUGGGAAUUGCAUUGGAGACUGCAAGGCUAGAAUCUGGCAGAGGGGGGUAGAAUUCCACGUGUAGCAGUGAAAUGCGUAGAUAUGUGGAGGAACACCGAUGGCGAAGGCAGCCACCUGGGUCAAGAUUGACGCUCAUGCGCGAAAGCGUGGGGAGCAAACAGG